CUCAAUUCAGAAUGUAGUUUGCUUGUGGA
rnacentral:piRNA from 1 species